AACUCUCCUCUUUCAGCCCAGGUUGCCAGGUUUGGGUGGCAGGGCUUUGACUCUCCAUGCCAUCUCUACAGCUGUGCUUUUAUGUUUUGAUUUAAGUCUCCCACAUUGUUGUUCAACUUACUCUUAAUUUUAUUAGUUUUUUAUUAUUUUUAGAUGUUUUGUUUAUUUAUUAAGCUAUUAUAUGUUGGAUUGUUGCCCUGAUAUCUUUAAAGUGUUUCCAAUUAUAUUUUUGUCUUUCAAGAUUAUUUUGAAUACUCUAUUUUGUCUUUUUAAAACUGUACUUCUGUAGUUUUUAAUGGAGGGCAUCUCUCCAAGGCCAGGAGCAUUUUAGAGGCUAUGCUAUCUUUGUUUUUUUGUGCAGGGGUCCUGGGGUUUCCAGACCGCCUUGCAUUAAGGAAUCCAGGCCCUUGAGCUCCUGUUCCCUGGGAAGAGGAUGUGGGUUCCAGGCUGAGAGCAGCAUGUGCUUUGGCAGUUUCACAUAUUGGUCUUUCUGCAUCACUGCCACAUGUUUCUCCCUGCAGCUGCAUCUCUACAGGCCUUGGGCUAUGUGAAGAGAUACUCUGGCAGAUUUAUGAUCUCUGUUGGGCAGCAGGACUGGGCAGGACCUCCUAGAGCAGAGGAUGAGAGUUCCUGAGACAUCAGCAGCUCCUGAAAAUAUGCUACCUCCUCCUGCAGCUCUCGGGUCCCUCUCGGCCCUCACAGAACUCUGAACUGGCCAUCUCAGCACCAUCCUGUUAACAAGUGUUUCUCCUGGUGCUGGUCAAAGUGUGUAUAUCCUCCUAGGAGAAGCAAAGGUGUGCAUGCAUGCAUGUGCUUGUGUGUGUGCACCUGGACACAUGUACAGUCUCAGGUAUGAGAAAUUAAGAACCAUUCAACAAAUAUUUAUUUAAAUGUAAAAAUUUGAGGGCUGGCAUGUAACUCUGUAGGCAGAGCUUACUUAGUGUGCACAAAGCUCUGGACUUGAUCCCCAGGACUUUGUUCAAUGAUGAUACACGAAGGAGGAUGAGAAGCUCAAAUUUAUCCUUGGUUAUGUACUGAGUUUGAAGCUAGCCUGGGUUAUGUGAGACACACUUGCAAAUAAUAAUAAAAAAUAGUCA